rnacentral:rRNA from 1 species
AUUGAACGCUGGCGGCAUGCCUUACACAUGCAAGUCGAACGGCAGCACGGGAGCAAUCCUGGUGGCGAGUGGCGAACGGGUGAGUAAAGUAUCGGAACGUGCCCAGUCGUGGGGGAUAACGUAGCGAAAGUUACGCUAAUACCGCAUACGAUCUAUGGAUGAAAGCGGGGGAUCGCAAGACCUCGCGCGAUUGGAGCGGCCGAUAUCAGAUUAGGUAGUUGGUGGGGUAAAGGCUCACCAAGCCGACGAUCUGUAGCUGGUCUGAGAGGACGACCAGCGACACUGGGACUGAGACACGGCCCAGACUCCUACGGGAGGCAGCAGUGGGGAAUUUUGGACAAUGGGCGCAAGCCUGAUCCAGCCAUGCCGCGUGCAGGAUGAAGGCCUUCGGGUUGUAAACUGCUUUUGUACGGAACGAAAAGGUUUGGCUUAAUACGUUGAACUCAUGACGGUACCGUAAGAAUAAGCGCCGGCUAACUACGUGCCAGCCGCCGCCGUAA